rnacentral:sRNA from 1 species
AUGUUUGAUAAUUGCUUCAGCAUCUACUUGGAUUUUUUUAAGCAUGAACAUGAGUUAGAAAUUCAGCGAUUUACUCAGCGAGUUCUAGAUCUAGAGGAUCAAGUCUCAGAGACUCAAGAACGUGAGAUGGAAGCCAUUCGGGAACUACAGCAGGAGAAACUACACUCGACUCGCCAGCGAGUAGACUCAGAGGGCAGUGAAGAGGAUCCGACUCACUGGAACAUUUACAAAACUCAGCUCGAGAGUAUAUGUCAGAAUCUGCAGUAUCUAAUACAACAGUAUCAGAAUCAGUUAUUUUCAGGUGUUGAAGGUUCAGUUGAUGUUCAGAGUCUGGAGAAAUCUCUCAAAGACCUACUGAGUGAACUCAAACAAACUCAGACACCACUUGCCUUACAGUCGGACACCAUGGACAGUCUGACGAGUCGACCCAGCGCUCAGGCCGUGAACCAGCGAGUGUUACAUCACAACUCUGAGCUGACCAACUUUGUGUCCAGACUGACAGAGGAGAAGAUGGAGCUACGCAACACACUGGGGCGCCUAGAGGAGGAAAUCUGGAGAUACAGGCAGAGAAAUGGCCAUGAUAUGAAUGAAAACCACGUGGAUCAGGAGAACCGUCAUCUGGAAGCUCGUGCCUUAUGGGCCAAAGAGAGGCUGUCACUACAACUGGCCCUUAAUCAAAUGGAACAUGAGCUUCACCAAUGUCGAGCUGACCUCAAAUUGGAACGAGACCAAAAAUCCAGCGUCUGUACGGGAAGUACCUGCGGGCAGACAGCUACAGGAAGGCCCUGGUCUACCAGAAGAAGUACCUGCUCUUAUUACUUGGCUCUGAUUGCCAGGAUGGGGGUCUACCCCUCCCCUGAGGACCUGCAGCGAGGGACCAGGCCCCGCCGACCGGUCACCGCAUUUAGGAGUGCUGCCAGGGUGGUGGUGGCCGUAACUAGGAUGCGUUACUUGAUCAGGAAGUGGACGAGAGCUACCAGAGUGGGAUCCCCCGUGACGGGGGGCACAGUCACCUCCAACAAGCACGUCGAGUCAGGAUCAGCGAGCCCUCGUCCCAUGAUGACUACAUCUCUCGACUUGAAAAUCUGCAGCAGAGACUCAGCGGGAUGGAUUCGGGUGGGUGAGAAUGAAGGUUCAAGUCUCAAAAGUGACAACAUUGUAUUGCAGUGGGUCAGGUACUCCAAGGUCAAGGUUAUUUCCAUGGAGAUAGGAGGGAGGUCCAGUCAACUUUGUUAUAACAUUGCCGUCACUAUGAACUUGACUGACCCUGACCAACCUUGACCUUCAUUGGCUCCAUACGCCAUGGUGUUGGACAAUAACAUUAGUUUUAUCUGUUAUAAUCACAAGUCCUGCCAUUUCAGGAACCGAAGAAGAAAAUGUAAAUUAUUAUAAAGUUGGGACCAGAUGUUUUAUAUGUUUUUUUAUUAUUGAAUCCAAUAUCAUGGUUUUAUAUGAUUCAUUUGAGAUUAAGG